CACACACAAACAAAAAACAUCUGACAAGGGAUUUCAGCCUGGAGUCAGUCAAAAAAUCUUAAGAGGUCUGUAAAGGAGAUGACUAUGCUGUUAGGGCUGUGGUAGAAACCUUUAAUAACAAGUGAAAAGAGCUUGUAUUUGCCAAAAUGAACACAGGAUAUGAUUCUUUUUUUGCUUUUGCUUUGGAGUUGUAUCAGCUCUGUGCGGUCACAUGGGUAUCUACAAAUCAAAGCACCCAUCAACCAGAUGCAUCUCUGAGAGUUAACAGCAGAAGGUGGCAUAAUAAAAGAAGUUCUCGGUAGUGAAAAAGGUUGGAAACCACCAGCUAAACCAAUCCUUUUGUACCAAUAGGAGAUUCAAGUUGAGAGGUGGGAAAGGGCCUAUCUCAGAGUAGGUGCUUGAAUACUUCUUACUAGAACGAAAGAAGGAACUUAAGAUCACACAGCCAUGUUACUGCAGGACGGGGAAUGGAACCUAGGUCUUAUUUUUGGUUCAGUGUUAACUCCCAUUCUCUAAGCAGACUGGGCCUGUUAUUCAAACUGCCUUCCCAUAGGUGCUUCCCUGCUUCUCUCCUCACCCAGAGAAGGACUUACAAACAGCUUAUCUUCAGAGGUUUUGUGCCUGAUAGUUAUGGAAUGUGCUGGUUUGAGCAGGGAGGAUGUAAGGGGAGGGGAAUGCUAAAAGCCUGUCUACUUAGAGUCAGGUUUCCUGGGUAAGUCCCUGGAACCCCAUCCCCUUCCCCUCUCUUGAGACCCUGGAACUUACUCCAGUAACUGCCACCCUGUGCCUUUGCUUCAGGGCCAUGCUGGAUAAGGAGCUGGCUGCCUCUGUGAACAUCCUACUCAAGGCAUCUUCACUGCUGUACAUCCUUUUGAAAUCCCAGAGAUCUUCAGUCUCCCUGUGGAUUAAGGAGAUGUGCAGUAUUUAAAGUGGCUUCAGGAAGGCAUGGAAGAGGACUGAGUGGGGAAAGCUUUUUGUGCAUGCUGCUGGCUACCUCCAGCGGCUGCCUCCAGCCUCCAUCAGCUGCACUCUGGGGAAGAGGCUGCCUUCUACCUCCCAGCAUCUCUGGAUUUCAUGUUCCUGUCAGCACAGAGGAGCUAAAUGGCCUGUAGAGGCUGAAGGUCUGAGGCUCCUCAAGCUGGAAGAAAAGGCUGGGCCAGUCAGGCCAAGCAAGAACACAGUGUAACUUGUCUCUGAGUGCUUCAUGGUUAAGGGGGAUAAGCGGGCACAAGGGCAUGAGGAUGGUUAUAUGUACAGACUGAGGGGAAGAAGCAGUGAGGAUGAGACUUGCCAUCUUCUUGAGUCAAUAGGCCUGCCUCAGGUGCCUAGGAUGUAAUUGCUCUCCUGCUUCUCAUGGGGAGGAGUGGCCCUCAUGACCUUGUUUACCUGGAAGAGUGUGGGAUGAACGCCUCCUCCUGUGGGGACUGGCAAGUGCUUUAGCAAAAGGAUAAAUUGCUAAUUGUGGCAUUUCGUGGAUCAGCAGGAUUAUUUCUCCUUGCCAAAGAGGAUUUUGUUGGUCCUGAAUUCUGAGGAGGUGGGACUAGGAAUGGGCUCCAUGAGCCUGUGUAUGACUCAGGGAAUAUUAGGACUUUGGCCCAGCCUCAUGGGUUGGGAGUAAGUCUUGGCUCUUCCCUAGCCUGAAUGACAGACAUCAGAUCAUUGUGGUGCUUUGUCCAUGAAGAUGUAGAUUCUGAGCCCACCAAACUAACCUUUUCACUUGAGCACAGAAACAGCCCCGGGAAUCAGACAGACCCGUGUCUUUCAGGUUUGCUUCACAGAUCCCCAGGAGUUGACAAUAGGUGCCUUGGAGACUGCCUGCAUGGGGAUUUUUAAAAAGCUUUCUUUGUUAAAGGUUUGUAAACCGCUCCUCUGAGCCUGUUUUCAUUUUAUAGAUUAUUCAGGAAACUGAACUGCACAGAGAUCCAGAAAGUGGGUAGUGCAGGCUGUAGUGCUGAUAACUACUGUACUACUUGGAUCUUUGUGCUCCCAAAUACCAAAUAGAAGAGGAUCUCUGAGAGUCCUUUGCAAAGAUCUCGUAAGGAAUUUAGGCUGGGGCCUUCGGAAAAUUCCAGAGGAUUCCAAUGGAGAUUUUGAGGGACUGCCUCAGAAGAACAAAGAGAAUGAUAAUGGUGAUGUCCCUGCUUUUUACAACAGAUCAUGUUCUGAUAUAUAUGCAAAUCUGUGUAAAGUAAACCCUACCUAAAAUGUACUGGGGACCCAAGAUGGACUGCCUGUAUUGCUUCCAGGAUAAAGUCCAAUUUCUAGCUCUGGUUUUUAUAACCUUGCUUCAGCUCACCUUUUCCGUCAUCAUCCCCUCCAUCUCCUCUCCCACGCUGGGAAAUGGAUGGCUGCACUAUACUGUGUGAUGUUAUUGCUAUGUUCAUGCCAUCCCCUCUGCCUGGAAUGCCCUUCUGCAUGAAUGCCUGUGAAAUGUUGUUGCUCCUUUGUAUGGCCUGGCUUCUGUGGUUGGCAGGAAUCUCUUCUUUUGUGGUAUUCCUGUCAUCUUUGUGCAUCACAGUCAGCUUUGUAUUCCUAGCUUGUAAGCUACUUGAGGAUAGGGGCAUGUCUGAAUCUAUUUAAUCUCUUGCACCUGUUUGGCAAAUUGAUGUUUUAAGUAUUUAAAUACCUAAAGCUCUCUCUACAGUACAUACUCACUUUUGAUUUAUGGAAUUGGCAAAAUUCAACAUUUUUCCUUGAAUAUUCUUAAAGUGAGACUAAUUCCAAAGGAGAGUGUUCUGUCUGUGGCCUUCAUUGAGUGGUUUUCUGUUACCAGAAAGCUCUUGGUGGCCUUCCUCUUCCCUGGUGUCAAGGUUGACUGCUAUAGGAAGUGGGAGGGGAGAGGGCCGUUUCUGCCACGCAUUGUCCUAGGUUCUUAACAUUAUUUAAUCCUUAUAAUGCAAUGUUAUCCUCAUUUUACAGAUGAAACCUGAGACCAAAGAACAUGUAACACAUAAAGUACAUUGCAGAGUUAGGAUGUGAACCCAACUCUGAUUCUAAACCUAAUGCUCUUACUCUUUCAUUCAGAGGUUCAGUCAGUUCUUUGUAGGUUGUAGAUCCAGAGAAGCUGCCGUAGCCAACAAUAAAGUUGUUAGUUUUUAAAACAUCUAUGUGGUAAGUUGGUCUGGCACUUAAAAAUGUAUUGUUUCCCAGGCACGGUGGCUCACACCUGUAAUCCCAGCAUUUUGGGAGGCUGAGGCAGGCGGAUCAUUAGGUCAAAAGAUUGAGACCAUCCUGACCAACAUGGUGAAACCCCGUCUCUACUAAAAAUACAAAAAUUAGCUGGGUGUGGUGGCGCAUGCCUCUAGUCCCAGCUACUUGGGAGGCUGAGGCAGGAAAAUCGCUUGAACCCAGGAGGCAGAGGUUGCAGUGAGCCAAGAUCAUGCUACUGCACUACAGCCUGGCAACAAAGCGAGACUCUGUCUAAAAAAAAAAAAUAUAUAUAUAUAUAUAUAUAUAUUGUUUACUACUCACCACAGAUCUGCAGGAGUUCACUGAUCUCUAGGAUCUGCCUUAACUCCAACUUACAUGUUUUGGUCACUAUUACAAACUGUCAUCCCAGAAUGCUGCUGCAGAGGCUAGGGCUAGGACACAGACCAGUGUUUCCAUGUGGGAAUUCCCUCCCAGUAUUUCUUAGGAAAUGUAUGUUUUUUGAAUCCAUAAUCCCUAGAAAAAUCAGUUGAGGAAAUGAGAAGUAUUGUAAUUAUUCUGUGAAUAGUAACACUUACCAUUAUGGAGACAUCACUAGUUUGAAAGAAUCCAACUUCAUCAAAUACUAACAUACCGAGUUGAAGGCUACAAGAACUGAGACAGGAGCAUAGCAGAGAGAAACGGUCACCAUCUCAUUAGCCCUAUUUUUGGUUGUUGUGAUGCCAUUACAUCUGUAUAUCUGGCCGUAUCAGCUGCUAAUGGUGAGUUCUUGCAAAUAAAAUGAUUUGAUAAACAACCUACCAUACUUUAUACAAAUCUUAUGGUGUUCCGAGAAAUAAACUUUGGAAGCAAAAUAA